GGUGGAUGUAGCUAAGUGGUAAGGCAGAGGACUGUGACUCCUUUAUACGCGGGUUCGAUCCCCGUCGUUCACCU
rnacentral:tRNA from 1 species